rnacentral:rRNA from 1 species
CUUGCUGGGUUGGAUGAGUGGCGAACGGGUGAGUAACACGUGAGUAACCUGCCCCCUUCUUUUGGGAUAACGGUCGGAAACGGCUGCUAAUACCGGGUACUCACUGUCCUUCGCAUGGGGGGUGGGUGGAAAGGUUUUUUCUGGUGGGGGAUGGGCUCGCGGCCUAUCAGCUUGUUGGUGGGGUGAUGGCUUACCAAGGCUUUGACGGGUAACCGGCCUGAGAGGGUGACCGGUCACAUUGGGACUGAGAUACGGCCCAG